rnacentral:rRNA from 1 species
CGGACGGGUGAGUAAUGUAUAGGAACUUGCCUAAUAGUGGGGGACAACGUGUGGAAACGCACGCUAAUACCGCAUACGCUCUACGGAGGAAAGCGGGGGAUCUUCGGACCUCGUGCUACUAGAUGGGCCUAUAUUGGAUUAGCUAGUUGGUAGGGUAAAGGCCUACCAAGGCGACGAUCCAUAGCUGGUUUGAGAGAAUGAUCAGCCACACUGGGACUGAGACACGGCCCAG